rnacentral:lncRNA from 1 species
GAGGCAACAUGAAUGCUCAUUCAUUGCUUAUGGGAAUGCAAAAUAGUACAGCCAGUUUGGAAGACAGUUUGGCAGCUGCUGACAAAACUAAACAUAUUCAUCAUAUGAUCCAGGAAAAACACUCCUUGGUGUUUACCUAAAGGAGUUGAAAACUUAUGUCCACACCAAAACCUGCUAAUGUAUGUUUAUAGAGGCUUUUCCAUAAUUGCCAAAACUUGGAAGCAAUCAAGAUGUUCUUCAGCAGAUGACUGGAUAAAUAAAUUAGAUGCAGUUUCGCCACGUCACCUAGGCUACACCACCUAUCAUUUCUAACAGUACAACUUGAGACUGUGAGCUGUACUAUAAGCCAGAAGACAGACCAACUCAAACUUAUCUUCCUCUUUAUCCAAACACCAGAGAAGCAAAUAUCCUUGCCUUUGACAGUCGCCGGAGCAGUUCUGAUGGCUGUGCUAUAAAGCUAUGUCCUUGGUUUAAACACAUCAGGAAUAAUUGGAUGCAGUCUUCACAGAAUAAAUCAAGGUAAAUUUGGACACUCAUAUCAAAGUAGAGAUAAAUACAUUAGGUUCAAUUCUACUUAAAGAAGUCGAUGAUUGGACUAUAUUCAUCUUUCUCAAUUAUUACUGCAUAUUUAAAACCAAGGGAUUUUUAAAAUACAAUAUUAGAUGUCCUCCGCAUAUCACUUCAAAAUCUUGGGAUCUGAAGUCAGAUACCGGCAUUUCUUAAAAGCUUAUCACACUGGGGAUCCUCUUCAAAUGCAGAUUCUGAUUUGGUAAGUUUGAUACAUAGCUUCAGAUUUGCACUUUUAAGCAUCUGUCAAGUUUUGCCAAUGCUGCUGGUGUAUGGACCACUCUGUGAAUUGAGGUGUUCCAUGAUAUCUCAUAUUAAAUCCUUCCCACAAAAAUUUUUUCAGAGUGCAGCAAGUUCUUUCAUAUCAUGUAUCAGAGAGCUUCUAUUUAGCUUUAGAAUUACAAUGCCUGCAGGAUUCUGAGAUGUCUAUAACAAAUUAUGAUGUAUUUGGAUCACCACUUCACAGGAGAGCAGACUAUGACUAACUAUUACAUCAACAUGAUAAAUAAUAGGAGUGAGAAAUAGUUGAAGCUUGGUUGAGAUGAUAAAUGGGAAUGCUAUCAAUAGGCCUUUUCAUAAGUAAUUAUACAAUAAUGAGAAUCACUGAGAGACUGAUUUAAACAUGGUAUUGGAAUAAAACAUUCAGAUAGACCUGAAAUAAAUUUGUACAUCUGUAGUGAACUCAUUUUCUACAAAGGUGACAAGAAGAUACAUUGGAACUAAAGGACAUUCUUUUCAGGAAAUGGUGCUGGGAAAACUAAAUAUCAACAUGCAGAAGAAUGAAACUUGACCCCUAUGUUUUACCAUAUGCAAAAAUCAAAUUAAAAUGGAUUAAAUGCUUAAAUCUAAGACCUCAAACUAGGAAGCUACUACAAGAAUACAUUGGAGAAACUUUCCAGGACAUUGAAGUGGGAAAAGAUUUCUUGAGUAAUACUCACAAGCACAGGCCAAAGCAAAAAUGGACAAAUGGAAUCACAUCAAGUUAAAAAGCUUCUUCACAGCAGAAGACAAUCAACAAAGUGAAGAGAAAAUCCAUAGAAUGGGAGAAAAUAUUUGCGAACUACUCAUCUGAUAGUGGAUUAAUAACUAGAGUGUAUAAGGAGCUCAAACAACUCUAUAGGAAAAAAAACUCAUAAUCCAACUAAAAAUGGGCAAAAGAUUUGAAUAGACAUUUCUCACAAGAAGAUAUACAAAUGGCAAACAGGCAUAUGAAAAGAUGCUCAACAUCACUGAUCAUCAGAGAAACACCAAUCAAAACUAUAAUGAGAUAUCAUCUCACCCCAGUUAAAAUGGCUUUUAUCCAAAAGACAGGCUUAACAAAUGCUGAUGAAGAUGUAGAGAAAAGGAUACCCUUGUACACUCUUGGUGGGAAUGUAAAUUAGCACAAUCUUUAGGCAGAAUAGUUUGGAGGUUCCUCAAAACACUGAAAGUAGAGCUACCUUACAAUCCAGCAAUCCCACUCGUAGUAUACACCCCAAAGAAAGGAAAUCAGUAUGUUGAAGAGACAUCUGCACUUCUAUGUUUACUGCAGCACGAUUCACAAUAGCCAAGAUUUGGAAGCAACCUACGUGUCCAUUAGCAGACAAAUGGAUAAAGAAAAUGUGGUACAUAUACACAACGAAGUACUAUUCAACCAUAAAAAAGAAUAAGAUUUUGUCAUUUGCAACAACAUGGAUGAAACUGGAGGUCAUUAUGUUAAGUGAAAUAAGCCAGGCACAGACAGAGAAAUUUCACAUGUUCUCACACAUGGGAGCUAAAAGUUAAAACAAUUGAACUCAUGGAGAUAGAGAGUAGAAGAAUGGUUACCAGAGGCUGUGAAGGGUAGUAGGUGG